rnacentral:rRNA from 1 species
UACGAAGGGUGCAAACGUUGCUCGGAAUCAUUGGGCGUAAAGCGCACGUAGGCGGCCUCAUAAGUCGGAUGUGAAAUCCCACGGCUCAACCGUGGAAGUGCAUCCGAAACUGCGAGGCUCGAGUAUGGAAGAGGGUCGCAGAAUUCCCGGUGUAGAGGUGAAAUUCGUAGAUAUCGGGAGGAAUACCAGUGGCGAAGGCGGCGACCUGGGCCAAUACUGACGCUGAGGCGCGAAAGCGUGGGGAGCAAACAGG